rnacentral:rRNA from 1 species
UGACGAGUUUGAUCAUGGCUCAGAGCGAACGCUAGCGGCAGGCUUAACACAUGCAAGUCGAACGAAGUUCUUCGGAACUUAGUGGCGAACGGGUGAGUAACACGUAGGUGAUGUACCCUUUGGUGGAGGAUAACUCAGGGAAACCUGAGCUAAUACUGCAUAUGUCUUUCGGGAUAAAGUACUUCGGACGCCUUAGGAGCAGCCUGCGGCCCAUUAUCUAAUCCUAGUUGGUAGGGUAACGGCCUACCAAGGGUACGAUGGGUAGCUGGUCUGAGAGGAUGAUCGGCCACACUGGGACUGAGACACGGCCCAGACUCCUACGGGAGGCAGCAGUGGGGAAUAUUGCGCAAUGGGGGAAACCCGUGACGCAGCCAUGCCGCGUGUGUGAUGAAGGCCCUCGGGUCGUAAAGCACUGUCGGGAGGGACGAAGAUCUGACGGUACCUCGCAAGAAAGCACCGGCUAACUCCGUG